rnacentral:lncRNA from 1 species
UAAACACACAAAAAAAUAAUUUAUUUUGAAACAGUAGCAAGAACAUAUUAAAAUGUAUAUUGUCUAUAUAGUAAUUUAUGUGCAUGACCAACAAGGCUUCAUUCAAAUAAUACAUAAUUAGUAGUCCAUCAUUAAUGGAGUCAACACUUACGUGAAAAAUUGAAUAACAGUAUGAUCUAUCAGCAAAUAUAUCAUAUAUACAGAUAUGAUAUCUAGUCAUCUACAUGUUCAACAUGAAUAUACAGAUAUGAUAACUAUUUUUUCUUGUUCAACCAAUACUUCUCGCCAUCCGACCUCCUUCUCGCCAGAUCCGGGUGCGGGCGGCCUCCUCCAUGUCGGAUCUAGAGCAUGUGCACCUCCAUGCUGCUGGGUCCUCAGCCCGGCUGAGAGGAAGAGAGUGAGGGAGAGGAGCAAUGAAUUAUGGUGAGUGAGGGAGGGAAGAGUGGAUCUUACCUGUGUCAAAGAGCGGAUCAAGGCUGGCCUCCUCCACGACCAGUAGAUCCAGUGGACAUCGGGGCACUGCCGCCAAAAUUGCAGGGCUCGAUCCGUUUGCAUGGGGGCCAGAUCCACCAUCGUGCUUGAGGGAGAGGGAUGCGCUGCCGGGGAGGGGGAGAGAGAUGUGCACCGACUUCCCCGUGCAUGUGUCGACUGAGCUGGAAGGAGAGAGCACCACAGGAGAUGGAGAGAGAUGCGCCGCCAGCCACCUCGUGCUAAGCUCGAGCUCCACAACAGAGAGGAGGGAGGAGCCUCGGGUAGGGCUGCCAUGGGAGAGAGGGAGAGGUGAUGGAUCGAGCGCUGUCGCCAAGAGCAGCGCUGCUGCCGUGCGGCUGCUGAGUGGAGAG